UCCAGACUCCUACGGGAGGCAGCAGUGAGGAAUAUUGGUCAAUGGCCGAGAGGCUGAACCAGCCAAGUCGCGUGAGGGAAGACGGCCCUACGGGUUGUAAACCUCUUUUGUCGGGGAGCAAAGCGAGUCACGUGUGACUCAUUGAGAGUACCCGAAGAAAAAGCAUCGGCUAACUCCGUGCCAGCAGCCGCGGUAAUACGGAGGAUGCGAGCGUUAUCCGGAUUUAUUGGGUUUAAAGGGUGCGCAGGCGGAUUUUUAAGUCAGCGGUCAAAUCGUGGGGCUCAACCCCAUCCAGCCGUUGAAACUGGGGAUCUAGAGUGUGCGAGAGGUAUGCGGAAUGCGUGGUGUAGCGGUGAAAUGCAUAGAUAUCACGCAGAACCCCGAUUGCGAAGGCAGCAUACCGGUGCACAACUGACGCUCAGGCACGAAAGCGUGGGUAUCGAACAGGAUUAGAUACCCGCGUA
rnacentral:rRNA from 1 species